UGUUAUCUUACCCACACCGCCCAUUCCACAGGUUUCCGAUUAUUCCUCCCUCUCCUCGUCUUCUUCAUCGAUCACAUGAGCUUUCAACUUUUAUGGAGGUCAAGUGGUGAUUGGGGAUUUCAUCAAAUUUAUCAGCAAAAUUGCAGAAAACGGCGGAGAAAUUGCUGCUACAAGCUGAUGGUUAUGCAAUUUUGCUGAUAAAUUUG
rnacentral:misc_RNA from 1 species